rnacentral:misc_RNA from 1 species
AAGACUAUAGACCUGCGGAGUACCUGCGGAAGGAUCAUUAUUGAAAAGCUUUGGAGAUACUGCUGCUGGUCUUUUAACAAGGCAUGUGCACGUAUCUCUAAUCCUAUUCAUCCACCUGUGCACUUUUUGUAGAAGUUCUUAGUAGGAUUGGCUUAUAGGUUUCUGACCUUUGUAGUUGAUUUGAAAGGCUUCUAUGUUUUUACAAACCAUAUAAGCAUGUCUAGAAUGUUCUUUUUAUUG